rnacentral:snRNA from 1 species
GAGAGAACCAAAGAUGAUUUGAA